UUUGGACUUGGACUUUUGGGUUAAUGCUGAAAUCAGCUAAGACUCUGGGGGGACUGCUGGAAAUGCAUGACUGUGCUCUAAAAUGUGAGGAUAUGAGAUCUGAGAGGGGCCUGGAAUAGAAUGGUAUGGUUUGGUGGUGUCCCCACUCAAAUCUCAUCUUGAAUUGUAGUUCCCAUAAUCCCCAUGUGUGAUAGCGGGGACCCUGUGGGAGAUAAUUGAAUCAUGAGGGCAGUUUCCUCCAUGCUAUUCUCACGAUAGUGAGUACGUUCUCAGGAGACCUGAUGGUUUUAAAUAAUGGGCUUCCCCUUUUACUCAGCUCUCAUUCUUCUCUUUCUUGCCAUCAUGUGAAGAAAGAUGUGCUUGUUUCCCCUUCCACCAUGAUUAUUACUCAGUCUUGGGCAGUUCUUUACAGCAGCGUGUGAAUGGACUAACACACCAGUUACAUAAAGAAUUGAAAAUAGUCAAACUCCUAGAAGCAGAGAGUGGAAUGGUGAUUACCAGGGGCUUAGGGAAGCAGGAAACCAGGAGGUACACAGCUUCUGCUAUGCAAGACGAGAUGUUGACUUUAUAGUAAAAUGUGAGUCUUCUGUAUGAGACGUAUCAUUUACUGGGAUCUUAAGUGAAUGCUCAAGGUGUGUAGUGAGGUUUCUCCACCGUUGUUAUGUCAGAACACCAACAUCCAUGAGUCCUACAGGACCUCUUGUAUCUCUGUUCAGCUGCCAACUCUGUAGCAAGUCCUCUCUGCAAGGCCUCAAGGAGUCCUUUGUGGAUGCAUGUCCAGCCCUGUACAAGGAUUCAAAGCAUUUCCCGCGUAAACUCUUAGUCAAUGACUCAAGUCAUGCUAUGAGCAACAAUUUCUGUGUUCCACAUCAUCUACAAGCAACACAAUCUGUGACUCUCCAUCUGCCCCUAGUUAUGCUUUGGCCAGUAAUCCAAUUGCUACCGUCAUGCUUUCCUCUUAAAGAGUCCCUGGAUAUUCCUGCCUAGCUUGAGGGAAGUUACUUCAUUAGGGUGAUUUGGGCACUUGGGGAACCUUUGCCAUCUUUAUGACUUAAAUUUUGACUUACCAAAAUAAAUAAGACAUAUAAGGAAAGAACAUAAAUUUAAUAGAAAAAUUCAACAUAUUUCCCCGUGGAUGUCUUAUUUACAUUAAUUUGGCCUCUCCUUUCUGUCCUACUCACCCCUCCUAAAUAGAAAACAAAGUUAAUUAUUUGAUUGGCUGUAUUAGGGAAAGAAUUAGGGCUGAACCUGUUUGUCUUUUGUUCUCUGUUUAUUUGGAAAUCUGAAAUAGCAUCUAUUCUUGGAUUAUCUGUAUCAUAAAUAUUCAAGGUCAGGGAAGGCUGAAAUCUUCAGUUCAUCAAUAACCAGUUGGGUUCAAUGCAGGGGUGCUGAGCAGGAAGCCCACUUUUGCAGAGGAGGGAGCCGUUGUGUGCAAACAGCCUGAUUAGUAAUAAAGGCAGUGAUUUUGUUGUCUAUCUCUUUGGUUUCUCCCCUAUACAUUAAUUAAUUUAAAUGUGGGGUUAGGGAAGACAUUCAGUAAGUCUUUCGAAACCCUAACAACAGUUUACAGAACAAACAUCACAUUUAACACUUUUUUUUUUUUUUUGAGACAGGGUCUCACGCUGUCACCCAGGCUUGAGGGCAGUGGCACAAUCUCUGCUCACUGCAACCUCUGCCUCCCAGGAUCAGGCUAUUCUAAUGCCUCAGCCUCCAGAGUAGCUAGGAUUACAGGCACCCGCCAUCAUGCCUGGCUGAUUUUUGAAUUUUGAGUAGAGAUGGGGUUUCACCAUAUCGGCCAGGCUGGUAACAUUUAACACUCUUACUGGUAAAUUUAACACACCUAGCCAGAAUCUUUGCAUCCUUUCCUGGGAAUAUCAUGAGAAGAGACUUCAAUUUAUGAUAAUUCUCAAAGGAUAGGUAAAUGACACUUUUCGGUCACGUACCUUGAAAUCACCUCUCAAAAACAUUAAUUAUAAAAAGAAAUGCUCAUAUGAGGAGAGACAGGUAUUAUUGUGUUGCCCUAACCUGUGGCAUUUCUGUGAGAAGGUGCAAGGCCAGGUCCCCACACUGUUUAAGCAUUCAGAAGACAGCAGAUAGCAUGCUCCUCCAUAUCCAUUCACAGCUCCCAAAAAUGCAGUGGUUGGCAUCACAGCCUCAAAGCAUUCAAAAAAAUUUCCAGAAGUUUUGACUUUUCACCCAAAUGGUUUUACCAUUUUCAUCUUAAAAAGGAAGAGCUGGACCUGGCACCACACCAACCAUCAUAUCGUCCUCUUGAGUUGAUCAUUGCCCAUUGGGGAGUGAGAAGCAGGCUAUGAAAGCAAACAGCUUAGCCGUGGUUACUAGACGAGCGGUAAUAUACACCCAGAAGAGAAGGAGAUGGUAGGACCACAGAGAGCAAAGGAUGCAGCCACAGACCAAGGAAUACCACAGGCACCAGAAGCUGGAAGAGCCAAGAAAUGGAUGUUUCCCCAGAGCCUCUGGAGGGAGCAGGCCCUGCUGACACCCUGAGUUUGGCCUAGUGAAACUGACUUCAGACUUCUAGCCUUCAGAACAGGGAAACAAUACAUUUCGGGUUUGUUUAUGGCAAUUUAUCAUAGCAGCGACAGGAAAUUAACUCAUAAAUCACUGGUCCCCAUUUCCUUGCUCAGGUGAAAAAUGUCCCUUGGGUUCACUCUCUUUGGACUUUUGGGGCCCAUUAUGUGCUAGACUGACAACUGCAGGCACAGUCCAUUUUCAUUGCACAGGGGGCAUUGUCUAAACUUACCGGUUUGACUUGACAAAUAAUACAAACAAAAUAAAUUUAGUUUUGACAGACUGAAAUGAAUUGAAUUGGUUGAAGUGAACAUAAAGAACCAUAUGAUUUUUUAAAAAACUACUUCUUAUUUUUUAAAGCCCAACACAGUACUGUGGAUUAUAACAUAUGUAUACAUGUUUGUGGGUAUCUAUACAUGCACAUAUACACACACACACACACACACAUAUAUAUAUAUAUAUAUACACACAUAUAUAUAUGAAUUUUCAACCAAAAUGUGAAGAAAAUUGUAGUUAAAAAUGCCAUAAUUUAUCUUUUACUGGUAAUUUCUAACUUAUCGCUUUAAUUUUCUCUGCCUCCCAAACAUCCUUACUCAAAAAUUGGAGAAGAAAUUUUUAUUUAUCCAUCUAGCUCCUCUUUAUCAUCUUAGUCUGUUCAGCUGCAAUAUCACUACAGCAGGGAUAACACUUUUAAAUAUAAUCUGCUCUAAUCUGCAUAAUUGUCUAACAGAAAACAGACAGGUGGUGCCUUCUCAAUCAGCUUAAGGUCAGUCUCUGAAGCAAACGUCACGAACAUAUGCAAAUCGUCGGCUAAUAUGCUAAAUCAGAGGAUGUGUUUUUAUUAAGAAUUUCGAAUCUGCAAAAUGGUUUCUCCUUGUAUUAUUUUUUCCUGGAAACUUUCAGGUUUUUUCCUUUGUGCUGUAUGUUUAAGCCUGUAUGCUAAUCUUGACUUAAUCCCUAUUCAUCUUUCCAUCAUUAAACACGAUCCUGUCAUUCAGAUGUUUGAAGGCUUAAGAGUGACUGUUUCUACUCUUUUAACUGCAACAAUUUGGCAUCCUGUUUCCCAUAACUGCCAUAUCCAUGUUUUAUGGGAUUUUGAAAAGGUUUCGGGAAGUAUUUUGGACACAGGACAGCCUACUGAAUGAGACUUGGAAAGUGCCCCAAGCAAAGUGGUAGGGGCCAAGAGAAAGCCCAGAAAUGAUUCAUGGUGUGUUCACACCGUGUGGGCUGGCAAGUGCGGGAGACGGCUCUCUGCUAGCAGACUGGAACUAAAUUCUUAGACAUUCCUGGGUUGCCAAACAAUGUCAUCACAGGGGUUCCUAAAGAAGCUGUGAAUUGGAUGUCAGUGUCUUUUGGCUGAAAGGAGAGUUUGUGUCAGACCCCAAGAGGUCUCCUUAGAUACAUUUUUCUAAUUGAGGCUCCUUCUCUUCCCCUGACAAAGAAAAGCAUUGACACCUGUGUAUUCUGCGUGGGGAAGACUUUCAGCUAAGCCAGAUUCCAAGCGGGAGGUUACAGCAGGCUCGGGUGUGGUUUAUUCCCUCUGCCAGUUCAAUACUUUUACCCCACAUUUUCAAAGAAAGUGUGUGUCCUGUCUGGUCCCUGCACACCCUUCCUCCUCACCCAACACUCUGUGGUCCUACAAUUUGACUACUAUUCUUGCUGCUAGAGAGGCCAGGCUACACGGCAUCCAAAGGGGAUCCCAUCGCCACGGCAGACACUUUGGCUACGUCCUGCCCUUCUCUUUCCUUCUCUGACCUUUUAUUUCCAUGGUGAAAAUCCACAGCUCUUUAACACACUCUGCAGCAGCCCAUUUUUAGCUUAAAUAAAAGUGAAGAGAGGAUUUAGUAUUCCAAUCCCACUGCAUUAGUGUCAAAUAUGUUUAUGCUAGUAAGAGGAAAAUAAAUACAUUCUGUCAUACAGAUGCCAUUCAAAUCUAAUGGGACUCAAUUUCAUGCUUUCAAUACUGAGAGGAAGUACCCAGAUUAGCCUCAAAUCAAGAGUGAUUCCUGAAACUUCUCUAUUUGCCACAUGCUAGAUUUCCAGUUUUUUUAUUGUCUUUAUAUAUAUAUUUUUUAAUAGCAACAACACUAGAUACCAUUCUGACAUGCUUUCC
rnacentral:lncRNA from 1 species